CUUUAUUUUGCAGUUGUGUUUAUUUACCUUGGGAGACUGGGGAAAGUAUUGUCAAGAUGGAGAAGAUGGUGAGGAGGGUGAUCUUAGAGGCUGCCAUUAUGGAAGAGGAGCUUCUGCUUACUUCGUCACCAUAAUUGAGAGAGGUCUGAAGUCUGACAGAUCCCGAGAGAUCUACAGAGUGAAGGAAGGAAAGUGAAGACAUUACUCAAACGAGGCAGUGCAGGUUUGGCGUCUCUCAACCUUUUGGUUCCCGUAAAGAUGUCCGAGAGUUACGGUACUCGUUUCUUUGAUUGAAUUCCCAGGAAUAACCUCAUGAACUAUGGCCGAAAGUUGACAACACGAGGCAUAGGAGCUAAGCAGCCCAGCACUAUUUUUCAAACCCCGCGAAGGCAUUCCAAAUUUUAAGGUUUGAAGUCGAGAAAUAGUCUUAUUACAUAGAUUUCAUAUGCAGUCAUUUUUACAUUUCUUUCACUCUAAAUUAUAAAGUUUAUACAUAAACUAUAAAAAAAAUCUAAAUUGGCAUAGACCUUCGACCUUCAAAGUUGGAAUAGGUAUAUAUUUGAUUUGUAUGAAAAAGUUAAAACUAAGUUAUAAUAUAAAGUAGAUCAUACAAUUUAAACAAGGUAAAAGAUGUAUUUUCUAUGCCAA